UACGAAGGGUGCGAGCGUUGUUCGGAAUUACUGGGCGUAAAGGGUUCGUAGGCGGGACCUUAAGUCAAGUGUGAAAUCCCCGGGCUCAACCCGGGACGUGCACUUGAAACUGAGGUUCUUGAGUACUGCAGAGGAUGAUGGAAUUGCUGGUGUAGGAGUGACAUCCGUAGAGAUCAGCAGGAACACCGGAGGCGAAGGCGAUCAUCUGGGCAGUUACUGACGCUGAGGAACGAAAGCGUGGGGAGCAAAC
rnacentral:rRNA from 1 species